rnacentral:lncRNA from 1 species
AUUUCCAUUUCUCUCAAUCCUCUUUUUCUUUGCUUUUUGCCUAGUUGCUGAGACUGCUACUUCGCAUUGGCAUUGAGGGCCUUAUAAGUGAGCCCGAAUUCCUUUCUCCCCACUCUCUUCCCUUUGAGGUGUGCCAAAGACUUCUUUCCCUCUCGCCACUCAAUCAGUGGAUAGCAUAGCCAUCCCUUGUUUCCUGAUUUGACCCCCUUUCUCUAGGUCAUUCUUUCUCCUUCCUCUUCCUCUCUCUCUCUCUUCCUUCUCUUCUCCUAAAUGGAUAGAUCCAAGGCCUUGUUCUCCUCUUGCUCUCAUUCUUCCCUUUUUCUCUCUUCUCCUCGAUCUCUCUCUAACUCUUUCUUUACCUCUUUCUAAAUCUCUCCCCCCAUAACCCUUGAGUCUGGUAGGAUUUGGUUCACAUUCACCCUAGUAUUGAUCCUAGCAGAGGGUCAUUCUCCACUUUACUUUUUCCUUUCUUUUUCAAGUUUAGGAUUGACUUAACUAUAUAGGCAGAUAGCAGUCAGAACCUCAAAAGGGAAAGCAUGGGAUCUCUUCCCAACCUAUUAAUUAAGGUAAAACAUAGUCUAUUAAUUCCUUAAAAUAAUUAUUUACUUUGAUAGGAAUGAACGAUGAGAAAUUAGUUUGGUUCAUGAGAAGU